CGAGAUCCGAAAUCCACCUUUUUCCACAAACACGGGAGCCGUAUGCGGGAGGUGUAUGUGGGGAUACCGGCACGCUCCCAACUUCCCACAUCCCCCCAUCUCCUGUUUUCUGCCCGCUGCCACCCGGGCUGUGCAGGGCGAGUGCCCACCCACUCUUGCCCUUGGCCGGUGUUGUGGAGUUUAUUACAGUUAUUUACGAUUGUUUCCAUUGAAAUGGCAAAAAACCCCAGAACAUGCGGGCUUCGGGUGGGCACACGCUUUGCACUGGCAAUCGCCCUGGCUGGGCACGUCCCCUGUCGCUCCCCCUGCCCGGCAGAGCCAUGCCUCGCUGCACAGCCCCGGCAAGGGCCACGCGUACCCAAGCUGCCCCCCCACCCCCGAGGCCGUCUCUCCUGCCUUUUGCUCCAGAUCCACCAGCUCCUUUCUGAAGGGCAGCCAUGCUGUCCUUCAAGUAGCAGGGAAGAGCUGGGGGGCUGGGGGAGGCGUGCCACAGGGAAAUGCUGGAUGGUGGCCCACUUUUCCACAGUGCUUUUGCCUGGCUUUCUGCUUCCGUGUUUGUUUUUCUUCUUGGAGCCGUCUACGGGCACACAGAGAGGACAGUAAUAGGCAGGACACUCCCCUGGCACAAAGAAUUGUGAAUAUGAGGUCAAGACGGCCAUCACAUAGAGUACUAAGAUGGAGUUUCUGCUCCUCCACGUGCUUUGCAAGGAUGCAGCAAAGUGCAAGAGGGCCUCCCUGGGGAGGCACAGGUUUGACAGGAUAAACCAUCUCUGUGCUGGUUGCAAGUGGUUACUGUGCUGAGAAUUGGGAUUACAGAGAAAUGAAACCAGAAGCUUUGCUCUGUUCGCACACCAAAACCACUUUGACAGCUGGUGAUGGUCCAAGCCUGUAAUGCAGCCCUUGAACAACUUGGAAAUGCCUGGGGCAACACAUGCUCACUUCAGGGGAUUGGACUACACUGAGUCUGAAUUUUCCCCAAACUGCUCGAAUUGGAAAUAAAGGGGCCUCAAUACCAAUACUUUUGAUUGACUUAUCUGUGCUUAUAAUAUCAAAUUAGUUGCUAUUGAUAAACUUAGCCUGAAAUUUUAGGAAUAUAGUGUUAGGCUCCUGUCUGGCAGUUUGGACCCAUGAGUGCAUUAGUGAUUCCCUACAUGCCUUUUC